UCCUGGCUCAGGAUGAACGCUGGCGGCGUGCUUAACACAUGCAAGUCGAACGAUCCUUCGGGAUAGUGGCGGACGGGUGAGUAACGCGUGGGAAUCUGCCCUCAGGAGGGGGAUAACGGCUGGAAACGGCCGCUAAUACCCCAUAUGCCGAGAGGUGAAAUGAAUUUCGCCUGAGGAUGAGCCCGCGUCUGAUUAGCUAGUUGGUGGGGUAACGGCCCACCAAGGCGACGAUCAGUAGCUGGUCUGAGAGGAUGAUCAGCCACACUGGGACUGAGACACGGCCCAGACUCCUACGGGAGGCAGCAGUGGGGAAUUUUCCGCAAUGGGCGAAAGCCUGACGGAGCAACGCCGCGUGAGGGAUGAAGGCCUCUGGGCUGUAAACCUCUUUUCUCAAGGAAGAAGACCUGACGGUACUUGAGGAAUAAGCCACGGCUAAUUCCGUGCCAGCAGCCGCGGUAAUACGGGAGUGGCAAGCGUUAUCCGGAAUUAUUGGGCGUAAAGCGUCCGCAGGCGGCUUUGUAAGUCUGUUGUUAAAGCGUGGAGCUUAACUCCAUUUAAGCAAUGGAAACUACAAGGCUGGAGUGUGGUAGGGGCAGAGGGAAUUCCCGGUGUAGCGGUGAAAUGCGUAGAUAUCGGGAAGAACACCAGUGGCGAAGGCGCUCUGCUGGGCCAUAACUGACGCUCAUGGACGAAAGCCAGGGGAGCGAAAGGGAUUAGAUACCCCUGUAGUCCUGGCCGUAAACGAUGAACACUAGGUGUCGGGGGAAUCGACCCCCUCGGUGUCGUAGCCAACGCGUUAAGUGUUCCGCCUGGGGAGUACGCACGCAAGUGUGAAACUCAAAGGAAUUGACGGGGGCCCGCACAAGCGGUGGAGUAUGUGGUUUAAUUCGAUGCAACGCGAAGAACCUUACCAGGGUUUGACAUCCUGCGAACCCCUGAGAAAUCGGGGGGUGCCUUCGGGAGCGCAAAGACAGGUGGUGCAUGGCUGUCGUCAGCUCGUGUCGUGAGAUGUUGGGUUAAGUCCCGCAACGAGCGCAACCCACGUCUUUAGUUGCCAGCAUUCAGUUGGGCACUCUAGAGAGACCGCCGGUGAUAAACCGGGGGAAGGUGUGGAUGACGUCAAGUCAUCAUGCCCCUUACAUCCUGGGCUACACACGUACUACAAUGCUACGGACAAAGGGCAGCAAGCUCGCGAGAGUUAGCAAAUCCCAUAAACCGUGGCUCAGUUCAGAUCGUAGGCUGCAACUCGCCUACGUGAAGGAGGAAUCGCUAGUAAUCGCAGGUCAGCAUACUGCGGUGAAUACGUUCCCGGGCCUUGUACACACCGCCCGUCACACCAUGGAAGUUGGCCAUGCCCGAAGUC
rnacentral:rRNA from 1 species